GGCUUUGUAAUUCUUAGGUCCUAAAUAUAAGUCUAUUAUAAAACAAGGAGAGGGUUCUGAGGAGAGGAUAGGACCUUCAUUAGGAAUUGUACAAGGUUCCAGCUGCAUGGUCCCUAUUGUAGCUGGACGAAUCCGUUUUCUGACAUGUUGUCUUCUUUGACCGUCGUACCCCUCAUUUUAUAGUUGCAUCGUUUCUUUGGACAAUGUUGAG
rnacentral:lncRNA from 1 species